AAGGAUCGCGAAGAUUCGAAACGAUCGAUCUCUUAUUUUUGGGGAUGACGAGAAAUUCUGAUCCGCAUUGUGAAAAUGUUUUUACGGAGAAUCGAUGCUAUUCUUUUUUUUUUUCUUUGCAGAUUAAUAAACGAAAGAUGGGCCAAGAUCCAAAUGGAUGAAUUAUUACAGAUGUUUGGAAUUCAAUUUUUGCAACAACAAGAGGUAUUAUUUCGAAACGUUUUUAUGAUCGUUACUUUUUCUUUUUUUCUUGAACACCGAUAAAGUCGAUCCAAAUGGAGAGAAGAUGGAUUAUCGUACACGUUUAUUCUAAAAAUAUAGCGGGUCCAAAUGGAGAAGAUGGAUCAUCGCCAAUUUGGAAUUCAAUUUUUGGAAAUGGCGAGAAACGUUUCUUAUUUAUUUAUUUUUUUUUUCUUUAUUUUAUUUCUUUCAUUCUUUCCGAAUAAUAAUCGAACGUGUUCAACGUAUUCCGUCAUUCGCAACAACGUUGUGGAAACAAAUGGAGGGCAAGCUCGCAUUAGGCUCGUGUAUGUCGAGCAACUUUCAUCCGGACAUUUUUACUCGGCUUACGGACAGCGUGGAAUCACCGUUGUGUACACCGUCGAUCGGCGCUCGAACAAAACGAUUUCACGGCAGAAGCUGGUGAAAUGGAAAAUCAUUCUCGUUUUCUUUUGCCUAGUUUCCUUCUCCUUUUUUCGAUGAAAUACGAGCAACUCGUGAAACCUUAACGAUCGUUGCGCAACCGCACAAUUAUCGCGUGCCCAGACUGUCGACAAUUCCCAACUUACACACAUUUUGUGCCUCGUUGCCGUAGC